rnacentral:rRNA from 1 species
UACGUAGGGCGCAAGCGUUGUCCGGAAUUAUUGGGCGUAAAGAGCUCGUAGGCGGCGCGGUAAGUCGGGUGUGAAAUCUCGGAGCUUAACUCCGAAACUGCAUUCGAUACUGCCGUGCUUGAGGACUGGAGAGGAGACUGGAAUUUACGGUGUAGCGGUGAAAUGCGUAGAUAUCGUAAGGAAGACCAGUGGCGAAGGCGGGUCUCUGGACAGUUCCUGACGCUGAGGCACGAAGGUCAGGGGAGCAAACGGG